CGGGACGGGUGAGUAAUGUAUGGGGAUCUGCCUGAUGGGCGGGGGAUAACUACUGGAAACGGUAGCUAAUACCGCAUAAUGUCUACGGACCAAAGCGGGGGACCGUCCGGGCCUCGCGCCAUCAGAUGAACCCAUAUGGGAUUAGCUAGUAGGUAAGGUAACGGCUUACCUAGGCGACGAUCCCUAGCUGGUCUGAGAGGAUGAUCAGCCACACUGGGACUGAGACACGGCCCAG
rnacentral:rRNA from 1 species